rnacentral:rRNA from 1 species
AGUGAACGCUGGCGGUAGGCCUAACACAUGCAAGUCGAACGGCAGCACAGAGGAGCUUGCUCCUUGGGUGGCGAGUGGCGGACGGGUGAGGAAUACAUCGGAAUCUACUCUGUCGUGGGGGAUAACGUAGGGAAACUUACGCUAAUGCCGCAUACGACCUACGGGUGAAAGCAGGGGACCUUCGGGCCUUGCGCGAUUGAAUGAGCCGAUGUCGGAUUAGCUAGUUGGCGGGGUAAAGGCCCACCAAGGCGACGAUCCGUAGCGGGUCUGAGAGGAUGAUCAGCCACACUGGAACUGAGACACGGUCCAGACUCCUACGGGAGGCAGCAGUGGGGAAUAUUGGACAAUGGGCGCAAGCCUGAUCCAGCCAUACCGCGUGGGUGAAGAAGGCCUUCGGGUUGUAAAGCCCUUUUGUUGGGAAAGAAAUCCAGCUGGCUAAUACCCGGUUGGGAUGACGGUACCCAAAGAAUAAGCACCGGCUAACUUCGUGCCAGCCGCCGCUGUAA